UCUAGGAAGAGGAAGAAAGAGAGGGCCUAGGAGCAAUGGGAAUGAGAACAUCGAGAAAAAUUGAACUUAUCGGUUCUUCACCUCUUGUGUUGAGGUGGAAAUUCCGUUUGGUAUUUCCCACCGCCUCACAUUCAUGUCGUUCUUAAACGCUCCUUCCCCUCCCUUUUUGUU
rnacentral:pre_miRNA from 1 species